GAUGAACGCUGGCGGCGUGCUUAACACAUGCAAGUCGAACGAGAAAUGGAGACGGAAACCUUCGGGCGGAAGGCUUCAUUUCGAGUGGCGGACGGGUGAGUAACGCGUGGGUAACCUGCCUCAUACAGGGGGAUAACAGUUGGAAACGACUGUUAAUACCGCAUAAGACCACAGCACCGCAUGGUGCGGGGGUAAAAACUCCGGUGGUAUGAGAUGGACCCGCGUUCGAUUAGCCAGUUGGCGGGGUAACGGCCCACCAAAGCGACGAUCGAUAGCCGAUCUGAGAGGAUGACCGGCCACAUUGGGACUGAGACACGGCCCAAACUCCUACGGGAGGCAGCAGUGGGGAAUAUUGCACAAUGGGGGAAACCCUGAUGCAGCGACGCCGCGUGAGUGAAGAAGUACUUCGAUAUGUAAAGCUCUAUCAGCAGGGAAGAAAAUGACGGUACCUGAGUAAGAAGCCCCGGCUAACUACGUG
rnacentral:rRNA from 1 species